CCAAUAGCGUAUAUUAAAGUUGUUGCAGUUAAAAAGCUCGUAGUUGAAUUUCGAGAUCAAUUUGUUGGUCGUGCCUCGGUACGUACUGGCAUUAUUGAUUUCUCCUUUCUGAAGAACCAUGAUGUCAUUAAUUUGGUGUCUUGGGGAAUCAGGACCGUUACUUUGAAAAAAUUAGAGUGUUUAAAGCAGGCUUACGCUUGAAUACAUUAGCAUGGAAUAAUGAAAUAGGACGUUUGAUUCUAAUUUGUUGGUUUCUAGGAUCGACGUAAUGAUUAAUAGGGAUAGUUGGGGGCAUUAGUAUUCAAUUGUCAGAGGUGAAAUUCUUGGAUUUAUUGAAGACUAACUACUGCGAAAGCAUUUGCCAAGGAUGUUUUCAUUAAUCAAGAACGAAAGUUAGGGGAUCGAAGACGACCAGAUACCGUCGUAGUCUUAACCAUAAACUAUGCCGACUAGGGAUCGGAUGAUGUUAAUUUUUUAAUGACUCAUUCGGCGCCUUACG
rnacentral:rRNA from 1 species